AGCCCUGGGGUGAUUCACGUCAAAUUGCAAGUUUGAAGAAGGACCCAAGAGGGUCCCGGGGCUU
rnacentral:tRNA from 1 species